CUCUGUGUUCAAAUCGUAGCACCCCUUUAGUAAAAAGGGUAUCCAAAUGUGUUAAUUUGUCGAAUUAUUUUUGGGCCAUUGAUUGCUUUUUUUGUGUGGCGUUGGCGUUAUAUAAAACCAUAAUCCAAAUGAAUCACUUAAACGGACGGAAGAAAGCUUUGUUCGGGAUGCAAAUGUUGGAAGAGGCAGAAAGAGAGAGAAGAGGUGAAGAGCGAGAGCAAUAGGUAGAUGGAGAGGCAUUGCCAUUCCAUUGUCUGUCCCUGGAAAUGGUUCAUCAAAAGAAAUCAUCAGUUGAAAAAAAGAAACGACUGCGGGUGCGGUGCUUGGGUGCAGCCAGUGGGUUGGGUAGUGGCAGGGGCAGAGGCAGGGGGCAUUCAAUCAGCCUCCAUUAUCAGCUGGUUGCAUCCACAAAGGCAACAGACAACACAAAGCCCGAGACGAGAUGAACAAUCUUGGGGCCUUAUUCUCUCCACAAAGAAGCCAUAACAAGGUUGGGACCGACCCGACGCACAUUCAGAUUUAUUAAUAUUGUCUCUGGCAGUGCUCCAACUCCUAUCCGAUGUAGGAUUAUCUUUGCGGCCGAUUGCACAGUAGCUGUGAGGGUCAGGAAAAGGUCUGCUGAUUGGGAACUUAAGGAAAAGUUUAACAAAGAAUAAAGAUUAAGAAAUGGCAGAUCAAGCCUUCCAUUGCAAUGGUAAAAGUGAAUCUCUCUCUUGAGCUUUUUGAUUGGAUUGAGUGGCUGGGCAGGCUGUAAACUAGCGAAGGAAAAUGGUCACUAAACUCAAGAAUAUGACUGAUUAAUGGGUAGAAAUCAGCAGUUACUUUUAUCAUGGAAAUUCUGUCACCUGCCCCAGAGAAUGACAAAGAAGAUUUCCUCAAAUUAUAUCCGAGGCCAAGAACAUUUUCUCAUGGAAAUAUUUCCACUUCUGGAACGCAGAUGAUGCGCUGGAGGGUGUAACAUAGGCAGGGGCGUGACUGUUUCUGGUUACAUGAAAUCAUCAAAGCCCCCAAAAUUCCCAUUUAAAAGACCUUUUCUUCUCGGCCCAAAAAACCGGUUUCCCUUUUUUGUUUUAACUUUUUUUAGCCAUGUUUUUCUUUUUUUUUUUUUUGCGUAUUGCUGUCAAAAUCUGGCCAUAAAAAGCGUUAAACAAGACUAGCAGGAGGGGGAUCAAGGUAUUAGAUACCCUUUCAAAACGAUUCCCUUUAUCUGAAAAGGGUAUCAAAAGUGCUCAAAUGUCGCGCCACUCUAAAAAAAGAAGUAUAACUAGUACUGUUAAAGAGCGAACGCGGCCUCGAUGCGGAUUUGAGUCUCGAAAACAAACGGUAAAUGUCCUUGGCGAAGACCACACCCACCCCUCAACAGCCACCCCGCCCACAGGCACGCCCGACAGUGCUGCAGCAGCAAUGAAAAUGCGAAUGAGGAAGCAAAAGGGAGUCGACGCGAGCUACACCCACCCCGAAAUGAGGAAGAGGAGUAAAAGAACACACGAAAACUGCAGUUCAUGGAAUUUUCAUAGUUUCCCAACAGGCGAGAGACAGGAGGAGAAAAAACUUACUAUUAUCCAUUUUGCUGCUGCGUCCGCUGCUGCUGCUCCUUCCUCUGCUUCCGUCGCAGUGCGUCUGUUCGUAUGACAAUGUUUUUAGCAGGAAACCGUAGCGUUGCAGUCGGGCCUGCCGUCAGCGUCGCCGUCGACGGUUCAAUGCACGACAGUGUUGUUUUUGUAGCUCUGUACCUCUGCUGCUGCUGCU